rnacentral:lncRNA from 10 species
GGAGAAACAGCUUCUUGGGCAUGCAUAUUAAGAGACAAAAAUGGCGAAGUAUGAUCCUUCCAGGUACAUUCCACUGGAAAAAGGAAGAAAGCCUCAGAUGGGCAUGCCUGUAACUCCCUAAACACACUGCAUGAGCUCACUUCUCAAGGGUAAGGAGGGCUCUGUGCAUGAGGGCAGCCCACUGUAAGGGAAGAAUCAUGGUAAAGAGGCGAGCUUAUGAAAGUCCCAGGAUCACAGUUAAAUGGGGCACUUGUCCGCUCUUUAACCUUUCACGUGCACGCUUGGGUCUCUUCCAAGCGCACCUGACUUUCUUUCCUGUUCUAAGGCCUUUUAAAAUAAACUUCUAUUCCUGCUGUGGAACUUGUCUCUGUCUCUUUUUCUGAUUUUGUCCCUCAGUCGAAUUAUUUCUUCUGAGGAGGCAAGGACUGAAGUUGCUACAGACCCCUAAGGACAGGCCAUCGGUAACACUGGGUAAAUCAGAUCUCUUCCACGGGUCUAUCAAUGAGAAGAAAGUGCCAACUGAAAACUUUUAGAAAAUACCCAGUUUACUCAAGGAAAAUAACAUGCAUUGAAGGUGAUUGCUCAAUAGAGAGAAGUUGAAACAGCAGACUAAUUGCCUGUUUGUGACACCCAUGUAAUCAACUUGCCAUUUGUACUCAUCAGUUCAGGCUGUGUUUUCCCACUGAGACAUCAUUUACAGUGCUCUAAACAUAUUUUCACAACAUUCACCUGACAACAUCAGCUGAGAGAAAAAUUUUCAGACUGCCGAGAAACAUCAGGAGGCCAUGAAUUCUUAAUCAACACACCAAAUUAUGAAAAUGGCCUAUAGGUUGAGGUUGAUCUGAAAGAUAGGACUAUUUGUGAUCCAGAAUCAAAAGAGUCAAGAAAAGUCUGAGAAUUUCAUCCUUGGAGCAGAAAGUGAAAGUGUUCUGGAGCCAAAAGUAGUAACAAAGAUGGAGGGCAAGAGAUCAUUGGAUUAAAUCAUAUUGGCAGACCAAAUUUCAGAAGAAUCAACACACCAGAGACAAGAAGAACUUGAAGUUAAAGCAAAGUUCCCUUAUACUGGAGAAUUCUUCUGCAUUCUCUGCUCAAAUAUGAUGCCCCCCACCAUGAAGAAGAGAUUCACCUUGGAUAUAACCACAAUUUACCCCCCUCAACAGAUCCCAGGAGGCUGCUGCUUACCUACUAGGGAGCCCACCUGCCUCGCUUUCUGCUUCCCCAGUCCUAUCCAUCUUGCUCCAUAUGAACUUUCCCAGGCCCAAGCUGCAGAUAUGAGAAUGAUAGCUACUCAUCAAACCUUUUUCCUUGUCUUGUUGAGCACACAGCUGGACCCCAUUUCAAAGCCUCUGUUGAGGUUAGAUAUGGUCAUGUGCCUGAGUCCUAGCCAAUAGAAUGUAACUGGGAACUGUUGUGUGUCUCUUUGAAAUCUGGCUGAUGAAUACCCACCCCCAUGCUACCCUCCAUGUUGUUUCCCUUUGUACUGACUUGAUGCAAUUGAGCCCAGGAAGCUUCAAAGCUAUAUGCUGAGGAUGGAUUUGAUAUCACAGAGGAAGCCUGGGUCCCUACAUCACUGCUUUGAGAACUGCUGCCCACCUUUUGGACCACCCAUUUUGGACUUAACAUGAGCAAGAAAUAAACUUUUCUGUUUGAACCAUUAUAUAUGUUUGGAUUUGUAUGUUGCAGCAGCUACAAUUACCUUAACCAAUAUGGACCCCCUGAGAAAAGUUGUUGGACCAAUAUGCAUUUAAGCUCAGGUUUCAAUUUUUCACACAUGAAAAAUUAUAAAUACAUAUAACUUUGAGCUUCUUUAGGAAAGAACGAAUACCCUAACUGGCUUGGUAUUCUCCCAGUAAAUAGUUCUUGAAAGGGUAUUUCAUAUAGUAGAAAUUCAAUGACUGCCUGUUCAAAAUGUUUAAAUGUUCAAGUCUUAAGAAAAAAAUGUCAACUACGAGAAGAUUAAGGAUUCAUUUACAUAAGGAAAAGGCGGUGUGAAGACAGAACAGAGAUAUUUAAAGAUGCUGGCCUUAAAGAUUGGAUUGAUUCAGCCCCAAGCCAAAGAAUCCUGGAAACCACCAGAAGUUGAAAGAGCCAAGGACAAAAUUCUCCCCUACAGCUUCAGGAAGGGGAAUGGUCCUUCUUUGAUUCUGGCCUGUGAUCCUGAUUCAGCCUUCUGCCUUCCAGAACUGUGAAAGACUAAAUCUGUUGUUUUAAAUCACCACAUUUUUGGUGAUUUGUUACAGCAGCCAGAGGGUAAUAAUAACAUCUAGGUUUCUUUUUCCUGUUGGUGUUUUCUGAAAUUCUUGGAACUGUGAUUUGGUGUCUGUCACUAAUUUUGGAAAAUGCUCAGCCAUUAUUUAAUUAUUUCUUCAAAUAUUUUCUUCUGCUCUGUUCUCUCUUCCCUUCUGGAAUUUCAUUACAAAUGUGUUAGACCAUUUGAUAUUGUCUCAUAGCUCUUGGAUCUUCUGUUUUUGUCCUCUCUUUUAUCUCUUUGUGUUUCAGUUGAGGUAAUUUCUGUUGACAUGUUAUGAAGAUCACUGAUUAUAUCUUUGUGUGUUGAGUCUACUGAUGACCCCUUUGAAGGCAUUCUUCACCCUUGUCACUGUGUUUUUCAUUUGUAGCAUUUCUAUUUUGUUUUUUCUUAUAGUCACUAUCUUCCUGCUAUAAUUAACUACCUAUUCUUUCAUGUUAUCUAUCUUUUCAUUUAGAGCCUUUAAUAUAUUACUCAUCGUAAAUUGCCUACUAGUUUCAGCAUCGGUGUCAUAAUUGAGACUGCUUCUGAUGGUUGCUUUGACUCCUCAGACUGUUUUUUCUUUCCUUGUUGUAUUCCUCUAAAUUUUUUGUUGAAACAUAGACACACAAGACAAUAGGCACUAAGAUUUUUUUUUUUUUAUGACUGGAGAUGAGCAUGCCUUUCCUUCUGCUAUGCCUUUAAUGUGAGAGUUUGUAAUAAUAUAAUAAGAAAAUGGGCUGAGUUUGAGGUUUGCUUUCCACUUGGCUUUGGGUCUUCUCUUUGUCAUGCUCCCCAAAGAGAAUUUUUCUUCUGCAGCCUCCCCAGUUCAUUCCACUGCUAGUUUUACUUGACACCUGCUAGUGUGGCAGUGGAGGUAUGGGGGAUGGAAACGUUAUCUAAUGUUCUGACUAAGCCUCAGUCUUAGGCAAAUUCUAUGAAACUAGGUCAAAGCUUGUGUUUCUUUUCACAAGUAUUCCUUUCCCCCCUCCAGACAUAAUGCUAGGCCAAGCAUGCGUUCCCUUUUCACCCCAGGAGCAGAAGUAUUUUUGUUUUUUUCCUGGCUUCCUCAGGGUUCUCCCCAUCUCCCCUGUGUCCAUCUACGAGGUUUCUGUAGGAAAAUCUUAAAAGAAGGUGUGAACUUUUCUGUGUCUGCUUUCCCCAAGGGCUUUAUACUCUUACACUAGCUGACACCAGGCAUUUAACAAUUUGACUUUUUAAAAUUCUAGUUAAAUUCUCUUUCUGGCUUAAUUGGCUUUUGGCAGCCUCUGUGCCAGGUAAACAAAGGCUAGUAUCCCAUUUCUCCCUGCAGACACCAGUUUCUCUCUAGGGUUCAGGUUGGUUGUUUGCCCUGUGACUUCGGUUUUCUCAUGUGUUCAAAAGAAGUCAUUAAUUUUAUUCCUUUUUUUGUUCUUGUUGUUUAAAGGGCAGGAGCAAUGUCUUUUCCAACUUUCUACAUCUCCAAGCUGAAACUAGUGGUUGAAAUUUUUCAUAUCUUGAUUCAGGGACCUAGACUUCUUUCUCUUGUAGCUUUCCUAUCCACUAGGGCUUGCAUAUGAUUAUUUAUACUCAUAGUUGACUUUUACUUAGAAUAAACUAGUAGAUGUUAAAUUGCUGGGUGUUGCUGUGUGCAUUCUCCAGGAAGCAGACUCUAAGACAGAGAUUAGUAUUCAGCAAGUUUUUUUUAAGGACAUACUCUUAGGAUUAAAACCGCUGGAAAGGAAGGGAAGAAGGCAGGAUUGGACAAGACAGAAGUUCAGCUGAGAUAGAAUCUCAACAAAGGGUCGGUUGAUCCCAUGGAAAGCUCUGGAGCAGAGAGAGCUCUGAAGAGUUGUCCUGUAUGCAGUGAGGAAGCUGAACUUUUAUGUCUUCUCAUCAGUCAGUCAUUGAAUGAGGGUAUAUCCAAAGGAAUACCUUGUCAAGGCAAGAGUCUCCAGCUGAGGACAAUUUCUUAAGAGGACUGAGAGCUGAGGACUAUUAUCUGGUAGCACUGGAGGAAUAAGUCUUGAAGGGGAUCUGGGCAAUGCAUCACAGCUUCCACUACAUUGAGUCAAAGAAUAUGAAUAUUUUAAGGCUCUUGAUAGGUAUUGUGAAAUUAUUCUUCACAAAAGUUGCUCUAGAAAAGGUGUACUUAAGUACUCUUGUACUUAGUUUUCUCAUUGGUAAUGUAGAAAUAAUUUUAACAAUUUGCCUCACAGAGUUAUUGAGAGAAUUAAAUGAGUCAAUAUUUAUGGUAUGCUUAGAACAGUGCCUAGUAUAUAUUAAACACCAAAUGCUUCUUAGCUAUCAUAAUUAUUGCUAUCAUUUUGCACUGAUACCAGAAGUACAUAAAAUUGCCUAUUUAUUUGCACUAUAGCCACCUAUGGGUAUUUUCAUUAAAACUAGAAAUUUCCAAUUUGAAAUAUGUCAUGAUGUUUUAUUGACCACUUAUAUUUCUUCUUUUGUAGAUUAUUUUCUGAUCCCCUUUGCCUAUUUUCUAUUAGAAUG